rnacentral:rRNA from 1 species
UACGUAGGUGGCAAGCGUUGUUCGGAAUUAUUGGGCGUAAAGGGCGCGUAGGCGGCUUGUUAAGUCGGCUGUGAAAGCCCGGGGCUCAACCCCGGAGGGUCAGCCGAUACUGGCAGGCUAGAGUACGGAAGAGGUAGCUGGAAUUCCCGGUGUAGCGGUGAAAUGCGUAGAUAUCGAGAGGAACACCUGCGGCGAAGGCGGGUUGCUGGGCCGACACUGACGCUGAUGCGCGAAAGCCAGGGGAGCGAACGGG